GAGGAGACUGCCGAACGUUGGGACCGGGAGAGGCUAGAGGUACUUCGUGGGGUAAGGGUAAAAUCCUGUAAUCCUAGAAGGACCACCGGUGGCGAAGGCGUCUAGCUAGAACGGAUCCGACGGUGAGGGACGAAGCCCUGGGUCGCAAACGGGAUUAGAUACCCCGGUAGUCCAGGGUGUAAACGCUGCAGACUUGGUGUUGGAGGCCCUUUGGGGGCAUUCAGUGCCGGAGAGAAGUUGUUAAGUCUGCUACUUGGGGAGUACGUCCGCAAGGAUGAAACUUAAAGGAAUUGGCGGGGGAGCACCGACCAACGGGAGGAGCGUGCGGUUUAAUUGGAUUCAACACCGUAAAACUCACCAGGGAAGACUGUUACAUGAAGGCCGGGCUAAAGACUCUGCCAGAUUUUCAGAGGGGAGGUGCAUGG
rnacentral:rRNA from 1 species